rnacentral:lncRNA from 1 species
UAGGGAAUUUAGAUAGGUUUACUGAUUUUAUGUUAAUUAGUGUUGAUUUGGUGGUUAAUAUAGGGAAUUUAACUAGAUUUAUAGAAUUUGUUAAUUAUUGUUGAUGUUAAUUUUAAAAAUUAAUUUUGUUUCCAGACGAUUCGAAAGAAUAGACUUACUUCCCAUUACAGACAAAUGUUCGGUGAGCCUGGUAGUCGUUUAGACCCGUCGUCCUCUUCAGCUCCCGGUUCUUCUUCAACUCAGUCAGCUAGGCAGAGAAGGUUUAACAGUCAUAGACCCCGACCGAUCGGACGGAACUUUGUGG